rnacentral:rRNA from 1 species
UAGGGAAUCUUCGGCAAUGGGGGGAACCCUGACCGAGCAACGCCGCGUGAGUGAAGAAGGUUUUCGGAUCGUAAAGCUCUGUUGUUAAGGAAGAACGAGUGUGAGAAUGGAAAGUUCAUACUGUGACGGUACUUAACCAGAAAGGGACGGCUAACUACGUGCCAGCAGCCGCGGUAAUACGUAGGUCCCGAGCGCUGUCCGGAUUUAUUGGGCGUAAAGCGAGCGCAGGCGGUUAGAUAAGUCUGAAGUUAAAGGCAGUGGCUCAACCAUUGUAGGCUUUGGAAACUGUUUAACUUGAGUGCAGAAGGGGAGAGUGGAAUUCCAUGUGUAGCGGUGAAAUGCGUAGAUAUAUGGAGGAACACCGGUGGCGAAAGCGGCUCUCUGGUCUGUAACUGACGCUGAGGCUCGAAAGCGUGGGGAGCGAACAGGAUUAGAUACCCUGGUAGUCCACGCCGUAAACGAUGAGUGCUAGGUGUUAGGUCCUUUCCGGGACUUAGUGCCGCAGCUAACGCAUUAAGCACUCCGCCUGGGGAGUACGACCGCAAGGUUG